AGUUAAUGAAUUUGAAUAAAUAUAUAUUUUGAAAAUAUAAUAUAGAAGGAAAAUCUUCUAUUAACUU
rnacentral:tRNA from 1 species